GACGAACGCUGGCGGCGUGCUUAACACAUGCAAGUCGAACGGAAAGGCCCCUUUGGGGGUACUCGAGUGGCGAACGGGUGAGUAACACGUGAGUAACCUGCCCUUGACUUAGGGAUAACUUCAGGAAACUGGGGCUAAUACCGGAUAGGAAUCCUUGCUGCAUGGUGGGGGUUGGAAAGCUUCGGCGGUUUUGGAUGGACUCGCGGCUUAUCAGCUUGUUGGUGGGGUAGUGGCUUACCAAGGCUUUGACGGGUAGCCGGCCUGAGAGGGCGACCGGCCACAUUGGGACUGAGAUACGGCCCAGACUCCUACGGGAGGCAGCAGUGGGGAAUAUUGCACAAUGGGCGGAAGCCUGAUGCAGCAACGCCGCGUGCGGGAUGACGGCCUUCGGGUUGUAAACCGCUUUCAGCAGGGGCGAAGCUUGUGGUGACGGUACCUGCAGAAGAAGCACCGGCUAACUACGUG
rnacentral:rRNA from 1 species